rnacentral:tRNA from 1 species
AGCUUCGUAGCUCAGCUGGUAGAGCGCUUGCCGCGUAGAGGCAUGGUGCUUCUGUCGCUGGUUUGAAUCCAGCCGAAGCCC